AGGCAGGCAGUUUGUCUGGGGCGGAACAUCUGUCAAAUGGCAACGCAGGUGGUGUCCUGCUGCCGGCUCGCCGGGACGGAAAACCUGGCUUAGAGCAAAGGGCAAAAGCCGGCUGCUCUCGUUCUUCAGCAAGCGAAGGGAAACAGGGGCCCAUCGAUCCUUUCUAAUUCUUUUAGAUGUGAGAGUCUCACGGGAGAGGUGGCCGGAAAAGUUACCGGAGGGAUAACUGCUUGUGGCGGCCAAGCGUUCAUAGCGACGUCGCUUUAUUGAUUCUUCGAUGUCGGCUCUUCCUAUCAUUGCGAAGCAGAAUUCGCAAAGUGUUGGAUUGUUCACCCACUAACAGGGAACGUGAGUUGGGCUUAUAGACCGUCGUGAGACAGGUUAGUUUUUACCUCAUGAAGACGGUCGUCGCUACGGUCAAACUUGCCCAGUACGAGAGGAAACUGUAGGUUAACAUUUGUACUGCGCCGAGAGGGAAAGGCUGGUGGCGCGAAGCUACCAUCUGGUAGGAGAACGGCUGAACGCCUCUAAGCCGGAAGCCUGCCCGGUGAUGGUGAGAUAAUCUAUUAGUGCCUCGCUUCGAACGGUUUUCGAUAGUCCGUGCCUUCCCCACAGACAAAGGGGAGGAGCCCCGGGUCCACGUCCCAUUCUAGCUCCGGAGCGCGGCCCCCAUAUGACCUGGGGGUCCUCGGAAGAGCCUGCCUCCGGCGGGUGUGCGUGACGUGGGCGCAGAGUCGUCUGCAGACGACGUUCCAUCUGGACGGGGUGUCGUAAGUAGCAGAGCACCCACCACAGUGCGAUCUACUGAGACUCAUCCUU